GUGCACCUACGGGACGCAGCAGUGGGGGAUAUUGCACAAUGGGGGAAACCCUGAUGCAGCGACGCCGCGUGUGGGAAGACGGUCCUCUGGAUUGUAAACCACUGUCCCCAGGGACGAAGAUGACGGUACCGGGGGAGGAAGCUCCGGCUAACUACGUGCCAGCAGCCGCGGUAAUACGUAGGGAGCGAGCGUUGUCCGGAAUUACUGGGUGUAAAGGGAGCGUAGGCGGGGAUGCAAGCCAGGAGUGAAAGCCCGGGGCCCAACCCCGGGACUGCUCUUGGGACUGCGUGGCUAGAGUGGAGGAG
rnacentral:rRNA from 1 species